rnacentral:rRNA from 1 species
UACGAAGGGGGCUAGCGUUGUUCGGAAUCACUGGGCGUAAAGGGCGCGUAGGCGGCCGAUUAAGUCGGGGGUGAAAGCCUGUGGCUCAACCACAGAAUUGCCUUCGAUACUGAUUGGCUUGAGACCGGAAGAGGUCAGUGGAACUGCGAGUGUAGAGGUGAAAUUCGUAGAUAUUCGCAAGAACACCAGUGGCGAAGGCGGCUGACUGGUCCGGUUCUGACGCUGAGGCGCGAAAGCGUGGGGUGCAAACAGG